UGGGGAAUAUUGGGCAAUGGGCGAAAGCCUGACCCAGCAACGCCGCGUGAAGGAUGAAGGCUUUCGGGUUGUAAACUUCUUUGAUCAGGGACGAAAAAAAUGACGGUACCUGAAGAACAAGCCACGGCUAACUACGUGCCAGCAGCCGCGGUAAUACGGAGGGUGCGAGCGUUAAUCGGAAUCACUGGGCGUAAAGCGCACGUAGGAGGGGUCGUAAGUAGGAUGUCAACGACAUCGGCUCAACCGGGGAACUGCAUUCGAUACUGCGAUGCUUGAGUGCCGGAGAGGGUGGGGGAAUUCCAGGUGUAGGAGUUAAAUCCGUAGAUAUCUGGAGGAACACCAGUGGCGAAAGCGGCCACCUGGUCGGCAACUGACGCUGAGGUGCGAAAGCGUGGGGAUCAAACA
rnacentral:rRNA from 1 species